UGAAAAUACAAUUGUCUCUUAUAGGUGAAAAUAUGGGUACUCAAGCGGCUAAGGAUAUACAGGGAAGUGGGAAACUUAACUUUCUAUUCAAGCCUCAAAUUAAGAGCAACCACAGAAAAUCUCUUAGUUCUUCACCCUCUCUCAUUUCCUAGUAAAGAUGACUUCUUUUUCUUUUUCAUCUCCUUAUAUAUAUGAGAGUAUUUUUUCUCACCCUUUUUAUGAGAUUGUUUACUACUUAUCUCAUGAUUUGAAGGUUAGUUUAAAAAGAAGAAAACUGCAGGUGGUUUUGCUGCUUGACCAAACAACUAACCCAACUCAUACAAUCUUAUGUUGGGUUCAGCUGAGAGGAAUGAGCAAUAGAUUGGCAGUUUCAAGUCCAGAUUUUUUGGAACCAAAUAAAAUAAAUUUGGGUCCACAGAAAAGCUCCAACUAGACCCAAGUCUUACUACUAUAACACUUCAGCUAAUAGCUCUUGAUCUUCAGCAAACACCUCAACUAAUCAAAUAAAAUGAAGCAAAUGCCAAAUAGCCUUAAAAAUUUAAUGCAGAUCAAUAAUGGAGAGAAAAGAAAAUAGAGCUUGGGAAAUAAAAAAGGCUCAGGGAUUUCAAAGUCCAGAGAAACCAGGAAAGCAAAAAGACAGGGAGAAGAAAAGAGGAA
rnacentral:misc_RNA from 1 species